AAUGAACGCUGGCGGCAGGCCUAACACAUGCAAGUCGAACGGAUCCUUCGGGAUUAGUGGCGGACGGGUGAGUAACGCGUGGGAACAUACCCUUUGGUACGGAAUAGCCUCGGGAAACUGGGAGUAAUACCGUAUGUGGUCGAGAGACGAAAGAUUUAUCGCCAGAGGAUUGGCCCGCGUUGGAUUAGGUAGGUGGUGGGGUAAUGGCCUACCAAGCCGACGAUCCAUAGCUGGUUUGAGAGGAUGAUCAGCCACACUGGGACUGAGACACGGCCCAGACUCCUACGGGAGGCAGCAGUGGGGAAUCUUAGACAAUGGGGGAAACCCUGAUCUAGCCAUGCCGCGUGAUCGAUGAAGGCCUUAGGGUUGUAAAGAUCUUUCAGGUGGGAAGAUAAUGACUGUACCACCAGAAGAAGCCCCGGCUAACUCCGUGCCAGCAGCCGCCGCCG
rnacentral:rRNA from 1 species